rnacentral:rRNA from 1 species
AUACGUAGGGUGCGAGCGUUGUCCGGAAUUACUGGGCGUAAAGAGCUCGUAGGUGGUUUGUCGCGUCGUCUGUGAAACUCCGGGGCUUAACUCCGGGCGUGCAGGCGAUACGGGCAUAACUUGAGUACUGUAGGGGAGACUGGAAUUCCUGGUGUAGCGGUGAAAUGCGCAGAGAUCAGGAGGAACACCGGUGGCGAAGGCGGGUCUCUGGGCAGUAACUGACGCUGAGGAGCGAAAGCAUGGGUAGCGAACAGGAUUAGAUACCCUGGUAGUCCAUGCCGUAAACGGUGGGCGCUAGGUGUAGGGGUCUUCCACGACUUCUGUGCCGUAGCUAACGCAUUAAGCGCCCCGCCUGGGGAGUACGGCCGCAAGGCUAAAACUCAAAUGAAUUGACGGGG